CCCACCUUCAUCUCCUCUCCUACCACGGCCGUCUCUGACCUCCGGCUAAUUCCCGCCGCCCACCUUGCUACGGACCGCCUCCGCCUCCGCCUCGCCCCCCACCUCCUCACGACCGCCCCGACCUCCGGCUCAUCCCCGAUGCCCACAUCCUCACGGUUGCCCCCGACCUCCUCUCGGCCAAAGGGGGUGGACGGAGGCCGCCGCCGUGGCGACAUCAGCGAGUUGGCCGGAGGUGUUCAUCCCUCUCCCUUCUCUCCACUGAUUGUCUAUACGUCGUCCAAACCAUUGGUAACAGUGUGGAUCUUCCCAGGGUGCAUAGAAGGGUCUUGAAAUGGAUACAAAUGGAUGUUUCAGUGAUUUGUAUGGAUGCCUCACAGCCAACACAAAGUAUCCAAAACUUGGGAAAAUCCUAACAUUUCCUUGAAUGUACGGUGUUACCAUGUUGGCAUCCCAUUUGACCCCCCAUGUACAUCAACUUUAGGGAACCUUGGUUUUUAUCAGAUUGCUAAGAUGAGGAAAAUCAAUGUCGAAAAAUAUUUGAUAUCGGCAUUGGUGGAGCAUUGGCGGCCCGAGACAAACAGUUUUCACCUACCUGUAGGAGAAAUGACUAUUACGUUGCAAGAUGUCAGUUGUUUGUGGGGGUUGCCUAUCCAUGGUAAACCACUUGUUGGAAAAGUUGAUACACAAUGGUCAGAAUUAGUUGAGAGGUUGCUUGGGAUUCCUGUGGAUGAACAACACAUGAAACAAAAGAAAAGGUGAAAAGGUGAUGAUGAUACUGUUGUGAGGAAUUCACAAUACUCUCUAGAUUUGGGUAAACUGCGGGAACGCUUCCAUGUGUUGUCGGAUAAUUCAAUGGCCAGGGAGAUAAAUUGGCAUGCUCGAGCACUUGUUCUAAAAAUCCUUGGCAAUUAUGUUCAAGAAUACAACCGUGUUGAUGCAACAGUGUGGCCAGACGAUAUUCCCUUUGAUGUAGCAAGUUUACCUCAUUAUAAACAUUGGUUCCAACAAAAUGGUAUGUGCACAGUAUUCUUCGAUUCUCAAUGCUUGGGCGGCCUAGAUAAACCUAUUCCAUAUCCUCGAGAUAGCAUCGAAUGGACUGGCUACAUGCCUAGUGGUCCGCCACUGGCUCAAAUUGGUUAUGCAAGAUAAAGAAUGCCACAUGGGGUAUUAAAUGUGCUAUUACUAGUGGAUGCAAGAAGAUAGGGAAAACUAUAUUGAGGUCUUGUGUAGGAAAUUUGUUGGAUUUGAACUUGGAGCCUGGGCUGCAAAGCAUGCUUACUGAGGCUAGGUUACCACUGUACAUUGAAGAUAUUCCAUUUGAUGAAGAGGUUUUUGAUAUUGCUAACCCACCAAGCCCCCCAAAAGAGAGCAAAUCUGAUGUGUUCAAUGAAUGGAUAUACUCCGGCAAAGGUUUUACAACAUACCUUAAGGCUGGUGAAGCGAUGAGAGAUGGGGAACCGACAACACAAGAUGUAGGUCAAGUUACCCAAUAAACCAACUCGAAUGAGCUUGGUAGAGCUAGUGGGCUUAUAUAAAGGAGUUCGUAGCGAGUAGUUGGUUAGAAUGGUCAUCUGUAGAGCGACCUGGAGGUGUAGCUGACCAAAUCCUUUUGUAUUUUGCCCCAAAAAGCAGUCCAGGAAUUUUGUUUGUGCUAUGACAGAUAUGGAUUGUAAUAGUUCCCAAAAUGUGUUUGUUACUCCUUAUUUGAUAAGUUCAUCUCGAGUAUAUAUUUUUUCAUAGAAAGGAAAAUGUGA